AAUCCAUGAGUGAAACAUUUCUGCAAAAGCUCCCUGUAUCGCUCCCAAGCCUCAUGCAUGAUUCAUCAUAUGCCUGCCGAAAAGAAGUAAUAUCAUUAUGCAAUU